GGAUCAUUUGACUCAAUCAGGGCCCGCUGCCCAACACGCGCCAUGAUAUGCGCGUGUUCAAUUACUGACCUGGUGGCAAAAACUACUAUAGAAGCCAAAAGCCAAAACAACAACGGCAAGGGAAAGGAGCACGCGUCACGUCACCGUACAAUUCCUACUUGUCGCCACCGGUGACGGAACCCGCGGAAAGCACGCAUAAACUUCUAUAGAUACAUAUUCUAUACGUAUAUUUCUAUGCGCUGUCGUUUUUUCGCGUGUCGAAGAAUCCUUAAUAUCAUAAAUUUUCGAAUUCAGCUGAUUGAUUCGUAGUUGGUGAUUCAUUUGCCAUUUUAGGU
rnacentral:lncRNA from 1 species